rnacentral:miRNA from 1 species
AACACUUUUAGUCUGAAAUGAG